GACAGAGGGUGCAAACGUUGCUCGGAAUUACUGGGCGUAAAGCGCGUGUAGGCGGUUCCGCAAGUCAGGUGUGAAAGCCCAGGGCUCAACCCUGGAAGUGCACUUGAUACUACGGAGCUGGAGUACUGAAGAGGAGAGCGGAAUUCCCGGUGUAGAGGUGAAAUUCGUAGAUAUCGGGAGGAACACCAGUGGCGAAGGCGGCUCUCUGGGCAGAUACUGACGCUGAGACGCGAAAGCAUGGGGAGCAAACAGG
rnacentral:rRNA from 1 species